rfam:Atopobium rimae ATCC 49626 contig00007, whole genome shotgun sequence.
GGGGAAUUAGCUCAGCUGGGAGAGCGCGGGCUUUGCAAGCCUGAGGUCAGGGGUUCGAUCCCCCUAUUCUCCA